CAGAGUACUGGUUCAAAUAUUUCAACUCUACUUGCAAUUGGAUCACGUAUCUGUCUUGGAAUUUUUUUUUCUUGGAAAUUUAUUAUAGUUAUACUAUGAUUGAGUGUUUUUUCAAGUUAUUCUACUCUACUUAGAGAUAAAGAAGAGACGUAUGCUUAUUUGUCUUCUUGAUUCUCAUAAAGUAUAACUUUUUGUUAUUUUUUUGGUUUGUCACCUAUUUGAAUGAUUGCCAACUUAUUUGAAACUUGUUUUUAGAACCCCAUUAACUAAUUCCAUCUUGAUUUUCUUUAAUAUUCUGAAGAAUGGUUCCUGACUAGUUAGGAAAUUGUGCAAAUCAUUAAGUAAGAGUUGAAGGAAAAAAAAAAUAUAAAGGUGAAACAUCAUGAACAAUAUUGAAAAUAUUCAAUUGGAACUAGAGAAGAAAAUUUCAACUUGAUUACUUGUUGUAAAAGUUUUUUUCAAGGAGUAGGAAGGACAAUAUAAACAAAUAUCAUAGCUUUGAAGUUGUUGUGACUUUUUCUUGUUAUUGCUUACAAUUUUCAUUGAAAUUUUCAUUGUAAUUUUUGUAUUUUUAAAAAAUUGUUUUUUUUAAAAAAUAUAUGCAAUAAUAGGUUUGAUUCAUUUCAAAAAAAAUGUAGAGACCAAUAAUUGUAAGGUCAAUAAUGGUAGAAUUUAUUUUAAAUAAUUAUAAGGAAAUUAUCAAAGUUAUACUAUUUUCUUGUGCCUCUAUAAUAAAAAAAUUUAAAUUUUUAGUUCAUGUUAGAAACGAUAGAGUAGAUAAAAACUUUCCUUUCUUGCUAUCCUAUAUGACAAUCAGGAUAAUUAGGUGGCAACAAUAACAUCUUUAUGGGAUUAAAAUUGGAAAGUGAAUCAAAUUGGGAAUAUUUUUUUAGAAAAGUGUUAUUUUGGCAAAAAAUUCAAUUUUAGAUAGUGAACUACGUCUGCUGCUAAUGUAGUUGCUUGUCGAGCAUUUGACAAAGUGACACCAUCCAUUUCAAAUAGAAUUUGUCCUGUGAACACACGAGCAACUCAACCCAUAUGAUUUCCUUUUCCUCUUCCCAUUCUUACUUAGUACUCCCGUAGGUUUCUCAAUAAUAGGGAGAUCUGCGAGAACUCUUACGCAUGUCUUACCAUUUCUUUAGAAUAGUCUGCUCAUAGCAGUACGGAAGUGUCCAAUUAUAGCACGCGCUGCUUCAAUGGCUCGAUAUGAAAGAAGACCUUUUUUUUUUAAUCAAAGGAUGAUCUGACACCUCCUUUAAUUUUUUUUUUUUUCACUAUAGAUAGAAUUCGAACCCCAUUUUUUUUUUUCACUAUAGAUAGAAUUCGAACCUCGAACCUACAGUUCAAAGAAAAAGCUCAGUGGCUGAUAUGAAAGACAACCUAGCUCUACAACUUUUAGUGCCAUAUCUUCCAAAAUCAAGUUAUGGACGGAGCUUAUGGUCUUGUUGCUUAGGAAGGGCCGAGCUAUCCAUAAACAUAUAAAUGCACGCACACACUUAUUUUUCCUCCUUCAACACUUACCUUAUUUAAUAAGCCAAAAACCUCUUUUGUAGAUAGAGCCAUCUAAGUAAUGCUUAAUAGACACCCGUUAAGAUGUAAUUAAGGUGCUAAAUUUUUUACAAAGUAAAAUUAAUUAAGAAAAGUAUAUAAAUACAAGGUAGAACAACAAUUGUAGGUUGAGUAUGAAUUAAGUGCAUUAAUGAGAGCUCGCUAGGCACCUGUUCAAAAAAAACCCUUGUGAAGAUUGCAAGACAAGCCCCAUAAAAUCAUAUAUAAGAUGGAGAGCAUGUUCAGCACAAAAUGUCAUGUCAGACUAAGCUGUACUAAUACAGCAUUAAAAAGAACCCAAAAGAAAUUACCUGCAAACAUUAAUCACUAAUAUUUACAAAAACCAAUUCAGUUGCGCUACAUUUUCCAUGACCUAAAGGUUAGCGCGUAUCAACAACAGGUAGUGGGAUCAUAUUACAGAAACUUUAGCCAUCAUUUUACUAGAAGGCUCAGCAUAAGACACUGCAACUUUUUUAACAAUCACACCUCAACAUUGGCUUUGUUCCCAGCUAAAAUAAGAGAGAUCUCCAAUCCACGACUGAAUGCUUGGUUAAAGAGGAGACGAGAUUGGAAAGUGGAGAUGAAUGGGAACCAAGAUAACAUUGCAAUUGGGGCGAAAAUAAUCAUACCCAUCCCGGCAUCAUACAUUCGAGCAAACUCCUUGACUGAUUCCCAGAGUCCUAAACUCCUCACUACUCUCUUCCACGUGAUAGCAAGCUGUGUCAACACAACAAAUACAAUUUAUGAACUCGAGAUAUAAUCAUAUACAAAAGAACGUGACGAAUCUGGCAUUCCUGACAUCCCCUGGAAAGUGCAAACAAAUCUAAAGCACCUAAACUAAUGAACUGAUUUAUGGCGGUAUACCACCACAUAAUAAAGUCAUAAUUGUUCGAUUUACCUAAAGAAGUAUUAAUAAUUGCACUCAUAGGAGGAAAAAAUUAGCAUGUUUCAACUCAAUUUACUUACACAUAUGAUGAGCCAUCCAGUAGCAAUAAAUGCAAGGAUGCUAGCAAACAAGUCUGGAACAGAGAGUUUAGUGAACACCACGACAAGGACUAGGGCUGCAAUAAGCGCCAAGGCUGUAACUCCCUGAGUGAAUCGGAGCAUCAGCUGGAAGUUUGUGGAUUUUUUAGGGGUAAAAGUAAAUAUCUGCAAAAGGAAAAGACAAUGAAUUAUUGGUACCUAAGACAGCAGAAAAAGAACAACUAGUAUGCUGUAUACCACACAAUAGAGAAAACUUCGAGGCAUAAAAGAAAAUUUUCAUCAAGGCACAAACCUUGAAGAUCAAGACUAUUCCAACAAGUACGACCCAAGAGAAGCCAUAGAUCUGAAGAAUGAGAGGAGAUGUUAAGAUCAAUGAAAAGGAGAAAAAAGAAAAGAGAAGGAAAAAAAAAAAUCAACUAUUGAUGCAACUGGAAUUAAUUAUGCAAACCUCACAAGCAUAUCACCUAAGACAUCAUAUUUACGAAGAUGUGGAAAGUGCUAAACAUUGGAUAUCAGACAAAGAAAGGCACCAUAGGGGAAAACUUUCGCUUGUUCAGGUCCUUCUUAAAGAGAUACGUGAUAACAUCAUUUCCAACUAAGCAUCAGAAAAAAAUAAGUAUCCAAUCUUGCAGGUUUGCUGUUCACAAUAGCCAAGUCCUCAAUCUACUAUUAGCAGUAAGGGAACAAACCAAAUUUUCCCUUCUCAGUAUCAGAAUAUGGGACUGCUAGAAACCAGUUCUUCGCUUUUAGGUUGAGAUAAUUGUGCGGCAUAAGAACUAAAAUGUCUCACAUCAUAAUGAAAGGUUAUAUUCUGAUUUCAGAAACUGGGUUUCCACUCUGGAUGAGCUGGCAUAAGAACCAACUAAGUGGAAGCAGUCAGGGCCAAUGAUUAGAAAUGGUAAGACAAUUUAUCACCAAUUCCCAAAAUUUAACAAAGUUCACAGAAUAAGUAAUAUAUUAUCAUUAAUUAAGCUAUCAAACUAAAAAAUCUAACUUAGUAUAAUAGAAACAUUUGCCAAGAAAGCUUAGAAAAGUAUUACCGCAAGUGAAGUGUGCUUCCCAGUUAGAUUAAGUUUGUAUACAAUGCCAUACUGAAACAUGAGAAACCUCGAGCUCAACAUGGUCUCAAGUAUACGACCUCUCCAAGUCUGGAUAUGCAUCUGUGGCAAAAAAAGACACAGAAAAACUUUGAAUGAGAAGAGAGAAAACGAAGGGUAAACAUAAUGAUGUUCUCCUCCUAGUCCUAGACACUUCUCCACUCCAAAUAGUAAAAAAGAAGGGAGCCUAGAGCAUAAGCUCAAAGAAAGGCCUUGCAUGUGAAAAAAUAGUAAUGAGCAUAUUAAGUCAAAUCAAUGUGAUUGCAAAGUAACAAAUAAACCUGUUUUAUGGAAGAGGGCACCCCGGGCGAGGAGGGGAGGGAUGGAGGGAGGGGUAUAGGGUCGAAGCAGAACUCCAACAGAAAAUAUAAAGACAGGCUUGUUAAGCAAAACAUAGCUCAUGUGCAACUUUAUGUGGAUUGAAAAUGGUACAAUUUGCGUUGCUACUAAACAUAGAAAAACAUUCGCGUGGGGGAGGGGGGUGGGGGUGGUGUUGGAGGGGGCUGGGGGAAAAAUCUCAUACGAAACCUGUUCUUCAUCCCACCAAGACUCCCAGCUAUUGUCACCCUUAACACCAACUCCGCCUUUAUACAUAAGCCAGCUUGUCCAAUCAUCAAAAUCCUCUACAGUCCUGCACAGAACAUGCAAAGUCUGUAAAAAUUACCAAGAAAAAGAUGAGCACCUUAAUUGCUCACAGAUUAAAAGGAUUAAGAGAAACUUCACUAAGAAAAUUAUUAUUUAUUCAUUUCAGCAGUGGUUAACACCUUUGAAGAUGCAUUACAAUGCCUUCUAUUCUUGUUAUGAUCUUAAUUCAGAUUGAUUCAGGUCUGUUGGAUUAAGCUCACUUUAUUUUAAUAUUGUCAAGGUACUUAGUAAUACUCCUGGAAUUCCAUGACUUUUACAGAAAGUAAUUAAUCUGCUCAUCCAAUAGAUGGGUCCUUGUAGGAAUUAAUGUCUUAGCUGGAGCAAGGUUCAGUUUUAGGAGUUUAGAUUUGUAAGAUCUCUCUUUCAAUUAUUUGAAAUAUAAUUCUUUGCAAUGAAGUAUACUCUUCUGGAUAUCCAUCUCAUAUUGGAUGCCAAAGUCAGGCUGCAGGUCAGUCAGCCAGUGAGGCUAGUUCCCUAUCUAGCCUUCUCCUAUUCUAAGCGAUCCAGUUACCAGUUUGAUUCCAUAUUACUGCCAAAAUCGUCCAUUGUUUUGGCCUUGAAACCUCUCUGAAGCUUAGUCGUAAAACCUUAGAGAAUGUCUUAGUUAUUCAUUCUGAAACCCAUUUUAGGUCCAUUUCAGGGGACACCGAUUAAGGUUGUCUAAAGCUCGUGCAUCAGAUUAAUUAUCAGAUUACCUAACAUUCCAUUGCAGAAAAAGAAUAAAAGAAAACACCUAUUAAAAAAUCCAUUCAAGCUAAACAAUACUAUAAAGGAAAUCUUACUUUUGCCAUUCAAAUCCUGAUGGGUUGAAGAUAUAAGGAGCAAAGAGCCAAGAGAUUACGAGGAACCAACUGCUUAGAGUAAUAAGAACAAAUGAAACACCACCUCCGUCUAUAUACCCAUAGGCAAUGUAAACAAUAAGAAGCAAUGCUAUUUCCAGCCUGCAGACAUGUUUAUAAACAACAAAAUAAGUAACUCAGUUUAAUAGACCGAAGAAAUAUACAUUUGAAAGGGCAGUCUGAUUAAAUAAAUGUAACUCACGCCUUAACAAAAUGGCUUCUUGAAUAAAGCCGAUAAUUCUCAGCAAACUUGAUGUGUCGGACAACAAAGCCUCUUCCAGUAGCUCGAUACUGUUGAGUUUAUUGAAAGAUACAUGAUCAACCAUAUCCAUACCAUAAACGUAAUUAUCAACUAUAUCCUAUAUACCUCUCUGCACCUCCAUGAAGGAUAGUAGAACAUUGAAAGAAAAACAAUCAACUAUAUCAAUGCCAUAAAACAAAAUUAUCAGAUAUGUCCUAUAUACCUUUGCACCUCCAUGAAGGAUAGUACGCCCAAAAUAAUGAGUUCUAGUUCCUAAAGAAAACGUGAAGAAGACAGAACAAAGCUGAAGCUGCAUGGUAAUGAAAUCGAAUAUAGCCUGAAAAAGUAUAACAUAGAACAUAUGUUAGUGUAGCUUCAAGUUGUAAAACAAGGAUGAUACAUUAGACAUGCUAUGUGAGAUAAAGUAAAUUAGGGAUCAGAACACUUGAAAAAUGAGAAUAUGCUGGAUAUAAGAAGAAAGCAAUUAGAAAAAUAUGAGGCAGAAAUCUGUUAAGGGAGGAGAAAAUAGAUGAUGGGAAAACCUUCAACAAGCCCCGCUCUAGUAUGAAGCCCACUACCAUAGGAACAGCAGUGAAAACCCCAAUUUGGACCAAGAAUUGAGCAUUUAGAGCAGCAUCUAAAGCAGUGUUACCAAGCAGUUUAGCUUCUCUUGAAAUUCCUCGAUCUACUCCAGAGAAAGCCUGAAUAAUUUCAGAGAAAAGAUGCUGAUCAAAUUGUUGCAUAUAUUAAACACCAGUAGCUAAACUGACCAACAGAUGAUCCCAACUGAACCAAUAGACAUGUAAACUUGAAAAAAACCAAUGCAUUAAAGAAACUAAUCCCCAAGUAUCUUGAUGCACGUGAAUUCUUCUACUUGCUUUAUUGCGAAACACAAGAGCUAAAUUGCUGAGCAGACAAAGAAAGUGUAACUUCAGUUCUGACAUCCAAUAAUUUCCAUCUCUUAGUAAGGCUGAAUCACACCUAAUAUGGGCUUGUAAUCUUUGGAUGCAUGUUGGUAAAGAACCCACUCAGCUACCAAGACGACCAAGUAAAUGGAGCUAGCAACCCCUUCUAGAUCUUUAUUACUAAAAACACAAGCAUUAAUCUUAUGGACAAAGAGACAUACAGACAGACAGACUCAGACACACACAAAAGAAAUGUAUCAUGGUACUUAACAUAGUACAGCUAUUUCCACAGAAGUCAUCGUAGUUCCCUCAUAUAAGAUUACAAUCUCACAAGUUACUGAAAACAGAUGCACUUGCUCUAAAUUCUAAAAAUUUAACUCUAGAAAGACAGAGUCAGUCUCCAUCUGUUGAACUAUCAGAUUAAUAAUAGCAUGAAGUAGUAGUAAAACUUACCAGAUAUGCUCUUCCAUAGAGAAAUAUAUAAAUUGUAAGAACAGUCAUCUGCAAUAGAAGAAAAGAGUUAUGAGGCAAUGCAUAUUUUCUGCACUAUGCACUAAAUUUAGACACAAGGUGCUGCAAAAGUUGCAUAUGGAAAAAAAUACCAUAGUGCAAACAUAAAAACCAACUGUCGUGAAGUAGAAAGACAGCAUUCUAAAGAAAUCGAGUAAUUGUCCCAGCCUAUACACAUCCCUGCUCAGAACUUGCUCUCCAUUUCCACCAGCCACCUUGCCUUCAAAUAAGGCAAUUUGGUUUAAACCAACAUCUCUUCCCUUUCCAACCUACACAAUUACCAAGUAAUAAGAUCACAAGGAAAGAGCAACACUGGCAAUUAAAAUGCGUACCUUCAAUGAGUAAAUAAAAGAUCAACUGUCGCACCUGAAUAUACUCAUGGUGAGUAAUAUUUCCCUGCCUAAGUGUGGAAUUAAACCCUAUAUAUGUGGAAAAAAUCUGUUUAGAGAGGCAUGCAAUACACAGGUAAAAGCACGGCAAGAAAAUGCUAAAAGGCUAAAUUCUGAUGCAGAAAAAAAUGCACUGCUGAAGAUCAAUAAAAAAAUUUGCACAAGAACUAGCAAGCAGUUGACAAGUUUACUGUGUAAGAUUCUUAAUCAUAUCCCUUUUAUGGUAAAAAAAUGUAACUCAUUAGCAAUCGGUAAUAAAUGAUUAAACAAAUAAAAUAAAUGGGACUAGAAAUACAAUAAUCUUCCAGAUUAUGCAACAUUACAGCGUGGGCACAUAUUGUUGAGCUUAACAAUAGAUUAUCAAAUUACAUUUUUUGCCAGCAGUAUGAAUCCCCACAAGCAGCAGAUAAGGUUUAGCAGGUUAAUAUGAUAUUUGAGCCGUCAACAAAAACUUUUAAUAGCCUUCUCCAAACCACCUUUUCGAAACACAGUUCCAGUAGAUUAAAUAGACCCAACAGCAGCUAAGCAAGUUCAUAAUUUUCGAAUGCACACACCUUUUGACUUUUUACAUUAAAAAAAACUCAAAGUUUUGUUUGAAUAAAUCGGUGCUACUCUUCUCUGCAGGCACAAGUCACUUGCUAGGUCAAGAUUUCGAACUCAAAACAAUUGUCUGCUUGUCAAAAAAAAUAAUUUUUUAAUUUAUAAAAGACUUAUUCACAGUAGAGCACUAAAGAAGCAAUUGGCACCACAAGAUAUUCACCACCAUCUUCACUUACCUGCAUAUAUAUCUUCACUGAUGUUAAUUAUGCGCGAUGCCUUACUAAUGCCACCUCGAGUAAUAUGAAAAAUUCGAUCAAAGACGUCUGGAUGACCAUAGUGCAUACGCACUCUGCAAGGUUUUGUUCAGAGUGUUUUGAUAAUUAUAUUCACAUUCUAACUUCAGAAAUUAAAAAAAAAAGAAGAAAUGAACCAGAAAAAAUGCAAUUUAAUAUUGUACUGUGGACUUAUGAUGCAUUACUAAGCAAAUGUAACUGAUAAAUAAUAAAAGUUUCCAACAAUAUAAUAUGCAUAAAGAAGACACCAUACAUCUCAAAACUGGCAAGCACAACAGAGAAAAUAAACUAACUCCAAGUUUAUUUUAUCACCGUUUUAUAAACAAUGUCACCAAAAAGAUAGAAGGGCGAAGAGCUCUUUCCAAAAGAAAAUGAUCCAUCUUCUUGCAGUAGAAAACUUGAUAGAAAAUCUAGGCUUUUUUUUCUAAAAGGUAUACGGCUAGCUGAUUCAACAGGGAAAGGGAAAAUAUAGUUCAAGAAGAAUCCAAUAAAGCAUUUAGUAUUUUUGUAUCCAGGUUAUUUAUCAUCUUUGACCAUUUAGACAUAUUCACAUACACCACGAAUGAAUACAGAUGGAGGAAAAGGAGGAAAAUCUUAAUCACUGACAAAAAAUGGUAAUGUUUUCUGGUGUUGGAAUCUACUGUAAAAAGCAUAUAUACAAGGGAUUGUCCUAGUAAGAGAGACAAAGAUGAUUCAGACACCCAUACUUAAGAUAUAAAUAAGUAAUACACAACACUAACUUUCAAAAAAUCAAAGCCUUGUGAGGUUAUCUUAUUCUUCCCUUGCUAUUAUUCUUCCCACACUUCAGAGGAAUUUUGUCAUAUUCUGAAUUUUGUCAUAUUUUCAAUCUGACAAUGCAAUCCUCCAAUCCAAAAUACCACUUCAGAACUUAUGAUCUCAAUACAGGAAAUAAAAGACAAGGGAAACAAACAAGCAAGCAUAUGCUUGAAGUAACCAUCAUCAACACUGAUGUUUUAUCUUCAAGUCAACCCUAACAUUUGAACUUAUAACCCAAUAUUUUUUUUUCUGAUAACUGGUCAAGUAAUAGCUAAAGCAUUAAAUGGAUCCUACAAACCCAAGGAAAAGGAAUCUUCAAGUAAAGCAGAGCAAUGCCAAAAAAAAAAAGAAAAGGGAACUCAGGAUCUUAUAAGGUAUGAGUGGUGAUCAGCAAAAACCCAAGGAAAAGGAAAAGGAAUCUUCAAGUAAAGCAGAACGUUGUCAAAAAAAAAAAAAAAAAACACGGAACUCAGAUGCAGAAUUGCUGUGAAAGUUUAAAAACAAUGGGUACUUCAAGGAUUUCAACAAAAUUAGGCAGGUAGCCAGCAGUCUCUGCUAGGAAUCUACAACUGAAGGCUAACAAGAGCAGCAUCAAAUUGAUACCAAUGCUGUUGUUUGACUGGACCUCUGUGAGAUAUUCAGAAAGGUGCAGAGGCAAAAUUGCGCUUUUGAUCAAGCACAACAAAACGGCUCUCCAUGCAAAUAUACUUGCUUCUUGUUAAAAAAAUCAAUUCAUUCUGAACUACUUACUUCAGAGGUUUUGCCAAAACGCGUUGGCCCAAGGUCACAAAACUAGUCUCUUGAUUGGACAUGAACAAAGCCAAAGAAGAAACACUGCACACGUGAAACCAACAUACAGCAUAAGGUAUUUAAAUACAAAAUAAAGUGAAGUAUCUUGUAUCAGAAAUCAGGAUGACAAACCUUCCUGUAAAGACAUGCUCCCGUACACCAAGUAUAGUUGGAGGCCGGAGGCCAUGAUUUCCUCGAAAUUCCUCAAGAAGAUUUCUCAUUUUGAUUGCUUCCUCAAGGUAGUUAUCCUGCACAACAAAGAUAUUGAAUAAACAGAAAAAAGCAUAAAAUAGAAAUAAGUUUAUUAGAGGCAUUAAAAGCAAAACUAGAUCAUAAUGGAAACAUGUAAUCAACCCAGACACAAGAAGAGGGGGCCGGGGGGCAGCAGAAAGUACCUGUCAUGCUUAAAAUCAUUAAAUCAUCAGGAUUUGAAUAUGUAUCAAUGGAAAACAAAUUCAGCACCUUCUGUAGAAACUAGACAACCAACUUCAACUUCAAAAACAUUAAAACAACUUUCUUCAACACAUCACAUUUCAGGUUCCAUUUGGAUCAACAGAUUUUAAGGAAUUUACAUGAAUGGAUUUGAAAUUAGUAGAUUUGAAAAUCCACAGUAAUUCAAGUUAUUUUGUUUGGCUAAAAAUUAUCUUAGGAUAGAGGGAUUUAUAAUUUACAAAACUUAUUGGGGUAAAAUUGAAACCUCAAAACUUCAGGGGUUAAUUAUUGAAAAAUUCCAUUUUUUACUUUCUCAUCUCACGUUUGAACUUUAUGCCCUAAUGUUUGAGCAGCUGCGCGGCAUCUUUUCGGCAGCUUUCCAGGCAAUGAGCACCCGCAAUGGUGGCCGUCAUCACAUAAGAACUUGCAUGAAUGUGCAGAUCCCAAAACUACCAUCAAUAACUGUUCACUGCUUUUAGUUCUAUUUUUCAGUAGGCAACGGCAGCAAAGUAUGAGAAGGUGUUGAAUAAAACACUUGCUUUCACUGUCCAAUAACAAGCUGGGAGUUCAGCUUUGCUUCCAAUUUCCAAAUACAUGACAAUCAUUGGAUUGGGGAUCAACACUGAUACGACCGGUCAUAGAUCAAGCACCAAGAAAAGAAAAUUAUAUUAUGUAAGAUGUUUCUUUCAUACUACUAUCCAAGUUGAGUUAAGAAAAUUCCAAAGGGCCAUUUUUGUCAAUAAGGAAUGAGCUAACAAUAACCUUGGAACUCUUACAAAUUCACAAUUUAUUCAUCCAGUGAUGGUGUUCCUUUUGCACUACUAUCUAGAUUGACUUGAGAAAAUUCCAAAGCCAGUCUUUCUAAUAAGGAAUAUGGCUUAUCAAUAACCUUGGCACUUCUACAAAUUAACGACCUAUUGAUCCAGUGACGGUGUACUAUUAAACACUUGAGAAGCUGCUGAGAUAAGUCAAUAUGGUCCAUAUCAAAACACCACCCAUCUAAGCUGGUUUAGAACGAUAGUUGACUGAUCAAAGAAAUGAAAUGAAAUGUGACAGAAACGCUGCAAGUUGAAUGAUUAUGGACAAUCGGGCUAACAUAGUAUCGAGAUAUGCUGUGACUGUCCAAUAUAGUUUAAAGAUAGGCCAUAGAUUAAUAAAUUGGAACCAGUAACCGCUACAUAAGGUUUAUAGUAAAGAGAAUGAACACUAAAUGACCUGAUUCAUGUCAAUUGUUUGAAUAGCAUCCCCUCGGGUGAAAAUUAUGGCAUGGUUCUGGUUCUCUGGCUUUCCUUCCCCAAGUUUUGGAUCUCCAGGGAGUUUAAUGGAGUAUAUUUCCUACACACAAAAGAUCAAUCGCAAAAACUGGUGAAAACAGGACAACAGACUAAUAAAGCGCAAAGGUAAUUGUUAGCAAGCUCAACAAAAUUUUAAUUUCAGAAACAGGGAAAAAUGAAAAAAGAAAACUGAACACAGCAAAAGGACAGCUGGCACACAAAUGUCUACAGAGGCAAGCAGAUACAAAUUACAGCAACGGAAGUUUCCUUUAGUUCUCACAAAUUUUACUGAUUUCAAAAAUGAAAAAGAAAACAAAAAUAUGGAUAAGCCAACUUAGGGUUCUUUGUUCACUCCAAGAUAGUUUAAAUUUGGUACAUAUAAAAAAUACAUUCAGAAGUAUUAUGUACAAAUCCAUAAUAGUCAUUUUAUAUGGUAACAAAUAAUACCAAUGAUUAAUUCUCAAGUUUCCCCAACUUAUCCAGCAACAAGAUUUCUUCAUACAUUAACAAGAAUUUCAACACAGAAAGCAAAAGACUAAAAAGGACUAUCAAAAAUUGCUUUUAAGCCAUUUUAAUACAUCCUUGUAAUACAGAUGACAAAUUUAAUGUGAACCACAUUUAAAAGCAUCUCAAUAUAUCAUGCUAAAGCAUAAUGCAAAUCUCCAAAGACUGAACAUUGUGCUUCAAAUAACAAGACAUAGGCUUGUUGUACUACUUCGAACUCCAGCAAUAAAAUAUCCCCAGAUCAACAUCAAAAAAAAUUUCAAUGCAUCUAUAUUCUAUGAAUACUAAUAAUCAAUCUAAUAAAGGGGAUUUCUGAUGAUGAUUAAAUAAUUACUCAAACUAAGAGUUCUUAUCAACUAUUGUAGAACAGAGGCAUACAAGUAUCUAUAGCCACUGGAUCAUUAAUUUUCAAAAGAAAACGAUAUAUUGAAGAUGUCUGCUAAAAUUGAGUUUGAUAUCAUAUUUAUUGCUAAUCCAUAUGGAAUUGCUAGAGCAUGAUUCACUCUUCAUUUCGCAUCCCCCUCCCCCAAAAUAACCUUUUUCUGAAAGAAAUUGUCACCAGCUUCUAUACAGAAUGUAGAGCAUAAAACUAAAAUCCAUCAUGAGCGGGUGAUGAUAUACAUCUGAAUAUUUUCAUCCAUCUAACCUAUCUUUUAUAAACCCAAGCAGCAAAAUUUUUUGUAAAUGACAUUAAAGUUAGUCUAAUCAACUUCCUCGACUUACGACAAGGGGUUGAUACAAACAAGUGCUUCCUCUCAAUUUCCUGUCAUCUACUAAGUAACUUGCCCUUGAAAGGGAAACAAGCAAGUGCAGGAUGCAUUAAGCACAAAAUCCUCUACCUGAUCCUUCCCAUGAGCAUCAGCUUUUACAAGCUUAGAAUAGAAUUCCUUGGUCACCUUUCCACCGGCUGCACCAAUCUCUUCUGUAUGUAUGAAAGCAACACGAAGAGCCUCAUUCCUAAGCAAGAAAUUGCAGAAGCUUCUCAGCAACAAGAAGCAGAUACGUUCAUUCAAUUAUAAAACUACAACCAGAGACAGAGGAGCAAAGCAAGCUAAUGGAGUGUUCUAUAAACAUCAAUUAAAGAUCAUUCCGCAGUGAGGACUUCCUACCCUUAUAGGAAGAUAUACAAAUGGAUCACUUAAGUGACUAUCUAUCUUACAUUUGUAAUAUAAACAAAUAAAUCAUUAAUAAAAUAUCCACCUUUUUUCUAGCUCUUGGUACCUACUCCACUCAUCCCAUUAUCACUUCAAUAUUUUUAUCUUUUGCAUUUAAAGUUAAAAUUUUCAGGAGUGACAAAUUUAGAGAUAUGCAAUCAUUUACAGCAAAGAGAAACAUGCAGACAUAGCAAAUGCAAUCGUCUUCUGACUUUGUCCAUCUACUGCUUUUGGAUCUUAAUUUUUACAGCUUCAAUGAAAUUACAUAAAUUGCCACUUCACAAAAACAAAACUGCCACUUCACAAACAAAAAGUUAAAUUAAGAAUAUGUCAAAAGGAGACAUAAAAUUUUGGAAAUGAUAAAGUAUGUAAUCAUGAAAGCAUCUCUAUUCUUCAUCCUCAUUCCUUCACCAUACUUUGUCACAUUAAGACCUAUAAAUUAC
rnacentral:lncRNA from 1 species